UNUGACUUGAGUGCAGAAGGGGAGAGUGGAAUUCCAUGUGUAGCGGUGAAAUACGUAGAUAUAUGGAGGAACACCAGUGGCGAAAGCGGCUCUCUGGUCUGUCACUGACGCUGAGGCUCGAAAGCGUGGGUAGCGAACAGGAUUAGAUACCCUGGUAGUCCACGCCGUAAACGAUGAGUGCUAGGUGUUAGGCCCUUUCCGGGGCUUAGUGCCGGAGCUAACGCAAUAAGCACUCCGCCUGGGGAGUACGACCGCAAGGUUGAAACUCAAAGGAAUUGACGGGGGCCCGCACAAGCGGUGGAGCAUGUGGUUUAAUCCGAAGCAACGCGAAGAACCUUACCAGGUCUUGACAUCCCGAUGCUAUUCUUAGAGAUAGGAAGUUACUUCGGUACAUCGGAGACAGGUGGUGCAUGGUUGUCGUCAGCUCGUGUCGUGAGAUGUUGGGUUAAGUCCCGCAACGAGCGCAACCCUUAUUGUUAGUUGCCAUCAUUAAGUUGGGCACUCUAGCGAGACUGCCGGUAAUAAACCGGAGGAAGGUGGGGAUGACGUCAAAUCAUCAUGCCCCUUAUGACCUGGGCUACACACGUGCUACGAUGGUCGGUACAACGAGUUGCGAGCCGGUGACGGCAAGCUAAUCUCUGAAAGCCGAUCUCAGUUCGGAUUGGAGGCUGCAACUCGCCUCCAUGAAGUCGGAAUCGCUAGUAAUCGCGGAUCAGCACGCCGCGGUGAAUACGUUCCCGGGCCUUGUACACACCGCCCGUCACACCACGAGAGUUUGUAACACCCGAAG
rnacentral:rRNA from 1 species